rnacentral:rRNA from 1 species
UACGAAGGGUGCAAGCGUUAAUCGGAAUUACUGGGCGUAAAGCGCGCGUAGGUGGUUCAGUAAGUUGGAAGUGAAAUCCCCGGGCUCAACCUGGGAACUGCUUUCAAAACUGCUGAGCUAGAGUACGGUAGAGGGUGGUGGAAUUUCCUGUGUAGCGGUGAAAUGCGUAGAUAUAGGAAGGAACACCAGUGGCUAAGGCGACCACCUGGACUGAUACUGACACUGAGGUGCGAAAGCGUGGGGAGCAAACAGG